rnacentral:rRNA from 1 species
GCAGCCGCGGUAAUACGUAGGGGGCAAGCGUUGUCCGGAAUGACUGGGCGUAAAGGGCGUGUAGGCGGCCUGAUAAGUAUGAAGUGAAAGUCCUGCUUUCAAGGUGGGAAUUGCUUUGUAGACUGUCGGGCUUGAGUGCGGAAGAGGUAAGUGGAAUUCCCAGUGUAGCGGUGAAAUGCGUAGAGAUUGGGAGGAACACCAGUGGCGAAGGCGACUUACUGGGCCGUAACUGACGCUGAGGCGCGAAAGCGUGGGGAGCGAACAGGAUUAGAUACCCC